rnacentral:rRNA from 1 species
GUUCUGGGCUACACACGUGCUACAAUGGCCGGUACAGACGGACGCAAAGCCGCGAGGUGGAGCAAAUCCUAAAAAGCCGGUCUCAGUUCGGAUUGCAGGCUGCAAUUCGCCUGCAUGAAGUCGGAAUCGCUAGUAAUCGCAGAUCAGCAUGCUGCGGUGAAUACGUUCCCGGGUCUU